UACGUAGGGGGCAAGCGUUAUCCGGAUUUAUUGGGCGUAAAGCGUGUGUAGGCGGUUUAUUAAGUCUAAGAUUAAAUCCUGAAGCUUAACUUCAGUUCGUCUUAGAAACUGGUAGACUUGAGUGUGGUAGAGGUAAGUGGAAUUUCUAGUGUAGCGGUUAAAUGCGUAGAUAUUAGAAGGAACACCAGUGGCGAAGGCGGCUUACUGGGCCAUUACUGACGCUGAGACACGAAAGCGUGGGGAGCAAAUA
rnacentral:rRNA from 1 species